UACGUAGGGUGCGAGCGUUGUCCGGAAUUAUUGGGCGUAAAGAGCUUGUAGGCGGUUUGUCGCGUCUGCUGUGAAAAUCCGGGGCUCAACCCCGGACUUGCAGUGGGUACGGGCAGACUAGAGUGUGGUAGGGGAGACUGGAAUUCCUGGUGUAGCGGUGGAAUGCGCAGAUAUCAGGAGGAACACCGGUGGCGAAGGCGGUUCUCUGGGCCUUACCUGACACUGAGGAGCGAAAGCGUGGGGAGCGAACAGG
rnacentral:rRNA from 1 species